UACGUAGGGGGCUAGCGUUGCCCGGAAUCACUGGGCGUAAAGCGCACGUAGGCGGCUCGCUAAGUCAGGGGUGAAAUCCUGGAGCUCAACUCCAGAACUGCCUUUGAUACUGGCAAUCUCGAGUCCGGGAGAGGUGAGUGGAACUGCGAGUGUAGAGGUGAAAUUCGUAGAUAUUCGCAAGAACACCAGUGGCGAAGGCGGCUCACUGGCCCGGUACUGACGCUGAGGUGCGAAAGCGUGGGGAGCAAACAGG
rnacentral:rRNA from 1 species